UCCCGUCAAUUUAUUUGAGUUUUAAUCUUGCGACCGUACUCCCCAGGCGGUCAACUUCACGCGUUAGCUACGUUACCAAGUCAAUGAAGACCCGACAACUAGUUGACAUCGUUUAGGGCGUGGACUACCAGGGUAUCUAAUCCUGUUUGCUCCCCACGCUUUCGUGCUUGAGCGUCAGUAUUGGCCCAGGGGGCUGCCUUCGCCAUCGGUAUUCCUCCACAUCUCUACGAAUUUCACUGCUACACGUGGAAUUCUACCCCCCUCUGCCAUACUCUAGCCCGCCAGUCACAAAUGCAGUUCCCAGGUUAAGCCCGGGGAUUUCACAUCUGUCUUAGCGAACCGCCUGCGCACGCUUUACGCCCAGUAAUUCCGAUUAACGCUUGCACCCUACGUAUUACCGCGGCUGCUGGCACAA
rnacentral:rRNA from 1 species